UUCUGGCCACCCCACAAGCAAAACCUUCCACCAGGACCCAAACCAGGGCUGAUCAUAAGAAACCUAAACCUCAUUGGCCAUCUCCCCCACCGGUCCCUCCACAAAGUGUCCCAAAAAUAUGGACAAAUAAUGCAAGCUUCAAUUCGGGUCUAUCCCAAUGGUAGUGGCCUUGUCUUCAGAAAUGGCAAGGCAGUUCUUAAAGACAAAUUAUCACCUCUUUGCCUCUAGGCCUCAGACUGCUGCUGGCAAGUACACUGCUUAUAACUAUUCCAACAUCAUCUGGGCACCUUUCGGUCCAUAUUGGCGUCAGGAGAGUAAAAUCUACCACACAGAGCUGUUCAACUGGAAAAAGCUCGAGUCUUAUGAAUAUAUUGGGGUCGAAGGAAGGUGGGCUUUCAUCUCCCACCUCUAUGCGUUGUCAGGAAAGCCAGUCAUGCUUAAAGACCAUCUCUCUCGCGUUACUCUCGGCGUUAUAAGCAGAAUUGUACUGCGGGAGAAGUAUUCAAUGAGUCUGAAUCCGGGAGGUCAAUAGUGACGGUGGAAGAGUUCCAAGAGAUGCUGGAUGGGUUGUUCUUGCUUAAUGGUGUGUUGAAUAUUAGGGAUUGGAUACCGCGGAUUGCAUUCUUGGACUUGCAGGGGUAUGUGAAGAGGAUGAAGGCUUUGCGCCAUAAAUUUGAUAGGUUUUAUGAUCAUGUGCUUGAGAAACACAGGGCCAGUUGAGAAGCAGAGGACUUUGUGGCUAAGGAUAUGGUGGAUAUGCUUCUGAGAUUGGUCGAUGAUCCUGAUCUUGAGGUUAAGCUCGGUACUGAUGGGGUCAAAGGGCUUACCCUGGUUAAUGUUAUAUGAGUUAGGAACAUAUCCAGCCAUUCAAAUUAGGCCUAUUCUAUUGAAAUCUCAUGAUAAUUUUGCUUGUUUGGUUGUUUCAUGGUCAGGACCUGAUUGCUGGUGGUACAGAUAGCUCAGCUACUACUAUGGAAUGGGCGAUGUCUGAGAUCUUGAGGUAGCCAAGCACAGCUAAUAAGGCAACUGAAGAGCUGGAUAGAGUCACAGGGAGAGAUAGAUGGGGGGAAGAGAAAGACAUCCCCCAACUUCCUUAAUAUAGAUGCAAUUGUGAAGGAGACAAUGAGGCUACACCCUGUCACUAGCUGUCCUGCUAGCACCUCACCUGGCUCUUCAUGAUUGCAAUGUAGCUGGCUGUGAUAUUCGCAGAGGAACCCAAGUCCUUGUAAACGCAUGGAGCAUAGGACCCCAACAUAUGGGAUGCACCGGAGGAAUUUCGACCAGAGAGGUUCCUAGGGAAGGCAAUUGAUGUGAAGGGGCAAAACUUGAGCUGCUGCCAUUUGGUUCAAGGCGGAGGAUGUGUGCUGGAUACAGGCUUGGCCUAAAGAUGAUUCGAUCAAGCUUGACUAACAUGCUGCAUGGAUUCCACUGGAAAUUGCCUUGGGAUAUGAAGACAGAAGAGCUGAACAUGGAGGAAGGUCCCGCUUGUUGCUGUCAUGGAGCCUAGACUUCCAAGUCAUCUUUACUAGUCGUGCCUUAGACCUAUGUUUUCUUAAUCUUAUUCAGGUUUGUGCUGUGGUUUUACUGAGGUUCUGGCGUAAAGCGGUUUCUGAAUAAAUGGUUUGGGAUUUUGGUGACCUGAUCUUAAGCCUAUGGCCUUGAUGGGAACUUUCUUUUUUCGGUUCCUUCUGUGCUUCUCCUCCUUCCUUUAUCUCCUCCUUAUGCAAGUCAUUUUCACUUUGGACUGUGUACAUAAAGGGCCCAAUAGGAAUAUCUUGGUAGUCCUGGAGAGGCUCCAGGGUCUUAACCACAGUGCUCAUUGUUGGUCUAUGCUUUGGCAUGUGGCUCAUGCACCAGUAAGCCAAUGCAGCAGCCUUUUGAGCCCCUGCUUCUGAGUAUUGGCCUUCAACUCUUGGAUCCAUUAUUCUGGUGAGCUUCCUGGAAUAGUUCAGUUGAGGCCUAGCCCAUUCUGCUAGGUUCUUCUCCCUGUUAGGCCUGGUCUUGUCCAUUGAUCUUCUCCCAGUUAGUAGCUUCAAGAGCACCACUCCAAAGCUGUAAACAUCGCUCAUUGCUGUCAAAUGCCCUGCAAACAAGCAAACUUCUUAUUUGUACUCCAAAGGAAUAUGCCCUUAACAUUCAAUCUAGAUUGGAUUAAACCUUACUGAAUUUCCUGUGAUAAUGUACUCUGGAGCAGCUUACCCUUGUGUCCCCAUGACUCGGGUUGAAACAUGCGUGUCAUCGCCUUCAGGGCCGUCUUUUGCUAAACCAAAAUCUUAUAAUUUGGGAGUAUGAUCCUGAAAAAGGUAUCAACAAAAGGUCAGCGAUCAUAAACAAAGCCAACAAUAAUGCUGAAGUGGAUGAAUUAGAACUCGCCACAGGUAACAGUAUGAUCCCCAUUUUAUAGGCAGCAUGAUACCCAUUUUAUAGCUAACAUGGGAAUUCGUGUUGUUAGGAAUUGGAAGGAACACGAAAGAAAAUCAUCAUUAAUAAGAUUCCUUCUAUUAUUAGCCUGUCAAUGAAACUAAGACAUGUUAUAAGAUCAUAGAUUGUUAGCCCUUGGGGGCUGUCUAACUAUGUUUUGAUGAUAACAACAUAAGAUGAAGUGUACUGAGUUGUUUGAAUUAAGAAAAGUUUCAAGUUUUAUUGAAAAUUUCAAAAGAAAGAUAAAGAUUGUCUAAAAAAAGAUUUGAAGGACACGAAAAAAUGAAUCCUUAAAGAUUUAUAAGGUUUAAGAAAUUUUGUAAGAUGAAUCUCUUGCAUGUGUUUAGGAUUAAACUGAUUUUUAUACACUUUUAAUGCAUUCAUUUAGAUUUAGGCGACAUUUGUUUUUUUAACUUUUUACUGAAAGCAAAUUGCUUUCAGAUUUCAAAUUGUUUAUUUCUUCACUUUUUGUUAAUUUAUUAUUUAUUUAAAAAAAAAUUUUAUUGAAUAGAAAAAGAUAAAAUAUUUGAUUUUUUUUUUUAAAGUUAAAAAUAACAUUGGUUUUUGUUUAUUUUUUAAUACUUAAUAAAAAUGAAAUAUUAAAAAACAAACAACUUGAGUGCAAUUGAAAUCCCAUAUCAAUAUUAAGAUCAAUUUUAAUAAUAUUUAUAAUGUCCAUAUAAUUUUAAAACAUAUUUAUACAAUAAAAAAUGGCCUACUAUAUAUAAUAUGUUAGGAAAAGAAAAUUUUUCUCCACAGAAGUCGAGUUUUACAAAAUCCUACCACAAGUCAAUAAAAAAAGAAAAAUGUUUGACGUAAGUUGAGAUUAGAGUUUGAAAUUACAAGUAAUGCAAGUGUAAAGUUUUCAUUAUGCAUGUUUGUGCAAUUUUCCUUAAAUCUUGAAAGUCACGGAUAACAAAAUAUGACCAUAAUCCACCAAUUCAUACACUAAAAAAUAUCUUCUAUAGAGGGAAUAGUCCUGAACCAUAAAAAAUAUAGAGACAGGCCGGCCAUGGGGUGGGUUCAAUUAUUAUUGAGAUCGCUCAUGGGGUGAAACAAUUUUAUUCUAUGCAACUUGAUUAUUGAGAUGGUGAUGGGGAUAAAAGAAGGUCCACCCUUAAUGUCAGGACAAAGAAGCAUGUUGCCCAUGAUUUUCUGAAAAGCUAAACAUAUUCUAAACAGUACUUCUUGCAAGCCCAAAGACACCAAAGUAGUGCAUCAGAAGAGCUUGGAAAGAGGUGUUGGGUGCUAGGUCAAUUUUUCGAAUAGAUCAAAAGAAAGCUAAAGAUUGUCUAAAAAAGAUUUGAAGGACACCAAAGGAUGAAUCCUUAAAGAUUUAUAAGGUCUAAGAAAUUUUGUAAGAUGAAUCUCUUGCGUGUAUUUAAUAUUAAAUUGAUUUUCAUACAUUUUUAAUGUAUUCAUUUAGACUUAGUUGACGCUUGUUUUUUUAACUUUUUGUUGAAAGCAAAUUACUUUUAGAUUUUAAAUCAUUUAUUUCUUAAAUUUUUUUAUUAAAUAGAAAAUAAUAAAAUAUUUGAUUUUUUCUUAAAGUUAAAAAUAAUAUAUUAGUUUUUAUUUACUUUUUAAUACUUAAUAGAAAUGAAAUAUUUAAAAACAAACAACUUGAGUGCAAUUGAAAUCUCGUAUCAAUAUUAAGAUCAAUUUUAAUACCAUUUAUAAUGUCCAUAUAAUUUUAAAACAUAUUUAUACAAUAAAAAAUGGCAUACUAUAUAUAAUAUGUUAGGAAGAGAAAAUUUUUCUCCAUAGAAGUUGAGUUUCACAAAAUCCUACCACAAGUCAAUAAAAAAAGAAAAAUGUUUGACAUAAGUUGGGAUCAGAGUUUGAAAUUAUAAGUGAUGCAAGUGUAAAGUUUUCAUUAUGCAUGUUUGUACAAUUUUCCUUAAAUCUUGAAAGUUACGGAUAACAAAAUAUGACCAUAAGCCAACAAUUCAUGCACUAAAAAAUAUCUUCUAUAGAGGGAAUAGUCUUGAACCAUAAAAAAUAUAGAGACAGGGCGGACAUGGGCUGGGUUCAAUUAUUAUUGAGAUCGCAGAUGGGAUGAAGCAGUUGUAUUCUAUGCAAACUUGAUUAUUGAGAUGGUGAUGGGGAUAAAAGAAGAUCCACCCUUAAUGUCACGACAAAGGCAUAUUCCAAACAAUACUUCUUGCAAGCCCAAAGACACCAAAGUAGUGCAUCAGAAGAACUUGGAAAGAGGUGUUGGGUGCUAGGUCAAUUUUUCGAAUAGAUUGAAGUAAAAUGUUUGUUUAUGAAAAUUUUUUAAAUACGAAUUGAUAAUGUGAAAGGUACAGUAUUGUUUUAUAUUUAAAUUGAAAGUGUCAAUUUUUUGUUUUUUCUGAUCUCCAUGCAUUACAUAACUCCAUCAGAAAUUCCCGGGGUGAGUAAUAGGAUUUGACGAUAGACUUAAAAAGUCAUCUAUAGACACUUUAUACGUAAUCAUUCUAGAUAACACUUGUAUUCUCUGUAUUACCUGAUAUAAAGUUAAUAGAUGCUCAUUCCUAUAUAUAUAAUGAUAUCUCAAAAGAUUUAAUUUUUUAUUAUAUUUAAUUCUUUUUAUUUUUCUUUAUUGAGUUAUCGAAUUGACUUUAUUUAUUAUUCCACUUUUUAAGAACAAGUGAUAUUGAUGUAAAAGGAUCGGGAUAGAAAUGAUAUUUUGAUUAGAAGCAACUUUGGAAUUGAUUAUUUAGGAUUAUUGACUUAAAGACUAAUGUCAUUUAUAACUUCUACAAUUUUUUAUUUAAAUGUUAUUAUUGAGCUAUUUUAAUUAGUUUUGAAUUUAUUGGUAAUGUAUUAAGCUCUGACAUGUGAAAUGAGUCUGGUACCUUUAGCUUUUGCGUUGGAGACUUUCUAUUGGGUAGGCUUGGCCGAAGUCCCACUCUCAAAUCACUACCAUAAAAGUUGUUUCCUUGUUAGGAGAAAUGUCCAAGAAAAUUGCAGACUGAGGCCCCAUGAACGAGAAAGGAGGUCAAUUAUUGAAGCACUCAUUCAUUUAGUUCUGCUGUGCAACUUCUGUUUAUGCAUCAUCUUUAUAUAAAAGGUUUCAUGGGAGGGCCAAGAGGAGAUACAUAUGAUCAGGCAUGAUAAAAGCAUGGUGUUCCCAUACACUUUAACAUGAUAAACAGGGCAAGGAUUAAUGAGCAUUCUUGUAGUCAUAACAUCAAGAAAUAUCCCCCAAUUGAAAGAGACUAAGGUAGUAUUUAGUUUUUUAACUUAAUACUCAAUGUAAUUUACUUUCAAAAUUUUUAAAUAGAAAAAACAAAAAUAUUUAAUAAUAAUAAAAUAAUAAAAAAUAAAUGAUUUAAUAUUUAAUAGUAUUAAGUUAAAUAAAAUUCCAUUUAAAUUUAAGUAAAAAAGCCAAACACGAAAGUAUUAAACUAUAGUAUCCAAUAUUAGCCUUGGCCAUUAGUUGAGAAGGUUGCUGUUCUCCUCCAUGGAUGCAAUGACAGAUUCUUCUGUGUUAAAUUUAUAAAUGUUUUCUCUCUGCUUUUGUGUCAUCUUGGUGGACACUGGAAGAUCAAGCCAUUUAAGUAAGACAUUUUUAUUGGGUUUUGGUGAGUGAAUGAUAUCUCUGAGUGAUACACCUUUUUUAUUUUUAUUUUUAGCUUUUACCUUAUGUUUAAUUCCUCGAAACUAAGAAGGAAAGCAAUUUUUUUUUUAAAUUAUCUUCUCAUAUUAAUUAUUCUAUAUAAAAUAGGAAAAAAAUCAAAUAUAAUUAAAAUUAAUUAAAAAUUUAUAUAUUUUCAAAUUAUUUAAUCUUAUUUGAAAAGAAUUAAAAAAAAAUAAAAUGAAUUGAAAAUAACAUAUAAAAAUAAUUUAUUAAUAUUAAAUAUAUUUUUAUUUUUUAUUUCCUUCCAUUUUUCUUCUUUACUUUCUUUUUCCCUUCCAAUCAAACAUAAUGUUUUAAGUGUUUAAUAAAAUAUUUAAACUCUUGUAAAUGGUUGAAUAGUACUACCAAAAUGUGAUUCACAUGAGUUCAAUAUAUGCUUUCCACCAGCUUAUUUGCUUAUAAAUAGUCCCCCGUUCCUCAAACUUUCACCACCAUUAAUGGAGGCUCCUUCUUGGGUUGUUUUGGCCCUAGCAUGGCUAGCCUCAGUAGCCCUUCUCUCAAAAGUUUUCAGUUUCCGGCCACCCCACAAGCAAAACCUUCCACCAGGUCCCACACCAUGGCCGAUCAUCGGCAACCUAAACCUCAUUGGCCAUCUCCCCCACCGGUCCCUCCACAAACUGUCCCAAAAAUAUGGACAAAUAAUGGAGCUUCGAUUUGGGUCUUUCCCAGUUGUAGUGGCCUCAUCUUCAGAAAUGGCAAAGCAGUUCUUAAAGACAAACGAUCACCUCUUUGCCUCCAGGCCUCACACUGCUGCCGGCAAGUACAUUACUUAUAACUACUCCAACAUCACCUGGGCUCCUUACGGUCCAUACUGGCGCCAAGGGCGUAAAAUCUUCCUCACAGAGCUGUUCAGCUCGAAAAGGCUCGCGUCUUAUGAGUACAUUCGGGUUGAAGAAAGGCAGGCUUUCAUCUCCCGCCUCUACGCAUUGUCAGGAAAGCCAGUCAUGCUUAAAGAACAUCUCUCUCGCGUUACUCUCGGCGUUAUAAGCAGAAUUGUACUGGGGGAGAAGUACUUCAGUGAGUUCGAAUCCGGGAGGUCGAUGUUGACGGUGGAAGAGUGUCAGAAGAUGCUGGGUGAGUUGUUCUUGCUUAAUGGUGUGUUGAAUAUUGGGGAUUGGAUACCGUGGAUUGCAUUCUUGGACUUGCAGGGGUAUGUGAAGAGGAUGAAGGCUUUGCGCGAUAAAUUUGAUAGGUUUUAUGAUCAUGUGCUUGAGAAACACAGGGCCAGAAGAGAAGCAGAGGACUUUGUGGCUAAGGACAUGGUGGAUAUGCUUCUGAGAUUGGCUGAUGAUCCUGAUGUUGAGGUUAAGCUCACUACUGAUGGGAUCAAAGGGUUUACACAGGUUAGUGUUAUUUGAGUUCAUGAACAUAUCCAACCAUUCAAAUUAGGCCUGUUCUAUUGAAACCUCAUGAUAAUUUUGCUUGUUUUGUUGUUUCAUGGUCAGGACCUAAUAGCUGGUGGUACAGAUACCUCAGCUACUACUCUGGAAUGGGCGAUGUCCGAGGUCUUGAGGCAGCCAAACAUAGCUAAAAAGGCAACUGAAGAGCUGGAUAGAGUUAUAGGGAGAGAUAGAUGGGUGGAGGAGAAAGACAUUGCCCAACUUCCUUACAUAGAUGCAAUUGUGAAGGAGACAAUGAGGCUACACCCUAUUGUUGUCCUGCUGGCACCUCACCUGGCUCUUCAAGAUUGCAAUGUAGCUGGCUAUGAUAUUCGCAGAGGAACCCGAGUCCUAGUAAACACAUGGAGCAUAGGGAGGGACCCCAACAUAUGGGAUGCACCCGAGGAAUUUCGACCAGAGAGGUUCCUAGGGAAGGCAAUUGAUGUGAAGGGACAAAGCUUUGAGCUGCUGCCAUUUGGUUCAGGGCGGAGGAUGUGCCCUGGAUACAGCCUUGGCCUAAAGAUGAUUCAAUCGAGCUUGGCUAACAUGUUGCAUGGAUUCCACUGGAAAUUGCCUUGGGAUAUGAAGACAGAAGAGCUGAACAUGGAGGAAGUUUUUGGACUGACAACUCCAAGGAAGGUCCCACUUGUUGCUGUCAUGGAGCCUAGACUCCAAAACCAUCUUUACUAGUCGUGCCUUAGACCUAUGUUUUUGAAGAUGAUCGGAAAAGUGUCCUUCUAGCUCGAUUGCAUGGGCUGGUUUUUAUAUAACAGGGUUGCCUGGCCAUGUGGUAGGCUGGUCAGUCAUUUUCCUGCCUUUUACAAGAAUACAAAAAUGCCUUUUGACUAAUAGGCAAAGGCAGUCAGCUUUCCAUCAAGCGUUUGGUGUGUUAUUAGUUCACCUCGUCAGGUAUUCUUCUUGGAGGGUAGCACGUUGGGGAUGUACUGCUUUUUGGCACCUCCAGUUUUAUUAAUAUUAUUCAGUUGUGUGUAAUGGUUUUGAUCCGUUAAUUGUAUUUCUUCUGUUCUCUAUCCAUGAAUGCAUUAGUGGCUUGCUUAAUUAAUAACAAACCUUUGAAAAAUGAGGUUACUGAUGUUGUCAAAGGAUACACAUAAUUGUAUUUAGACACAUGGCAGAGUGAUCCCUGUAUAAGAAACAAAAUAAGGAAUAUGGGAGUUUAUAGAGAUACGACACCUCGUACACUACUACAUCUCAUCUUCAUCAACCCUAGACCUUUAUCACCUUUUAACAUGUCGGCAUGCUGCAUGCCACUUCUAAUUUUGUUGGUGAAUAAAGCGUAUGUGAUUCUAUUGGAUGAUUAGCUUCUUAUUGUCAAAAAGGCGCAAAAAAUAUCUUACAGUAAGCAAAAAAGAUUAUCGACAGGCUGCCAUGCAUAUCAUAUGCUUAAAACAUUCUUGUCCUUAUUCAAAUUCAGUCACUUUCCUUAAUCUUUCAUCAAUCUAAUUUCUUCCUUAAGUGCUAUUCCAACAACCCUAUCUUAUCUUAAAUUUAGAGACAUUUAUAUAAUUUGAAAUUUUAAAAAGGCUUUUUUUUAAAAAUAAAUAUUUAUAUAAUUUUAAAAUUUUGUGAGAAAACAAAUGAGAUAUUUUCAUUAUUUUGGUCUUUGCAAUCACCCACUAUCUUUAUUUAUUUCCCAUAUUAUAAAAAAUUGAAAAGAUAAAAUAAAGAAAAUAAAUACAGAAAGUCUUCAAAGAACAGAUUACUUUGUUGUACCAUUUAAAAGUAAGAGUCUAACCUUGAUCCAUCUUUAUAUAUGUAAAUUAAAAUUCUAAAUAUAAUUUAGGUGGUGAUAAAUUUUAUUUCAAAUUUAAAAACUUAGGAGUAUUUACAAAUGUUCAUCAUAAAAUAAAAGAAAAAUAAAAGGAAAGUAAAGAGGCAAGAUGGAGAUGGGGAAAAAAAUUAGGGAAAAUAAUAAUAAUAAUAAUAAUAAUAAUAAUAAUAAUAAUAAUAAUAAUUAAAUAGACAUAGGAAAAUAAUUUUUAGAGUUUUAGUUUAAAUAAAUAAUUGAAAAAAAUGGAUUAUAAAUAUAAUUGAUAAUAAGAGUUUUAUAUAAAUUGGCAAUUUCCUAUAGAUGAAAAUAAUAUUACUUAUAUAGAAAAUUAGGAAUUAGAGUAUUAAUAAUUACAUCAAAGAGAAUAAUAUUAAUGCAAAUGGUAUCAAGAACGUCAAAUACUAAUUUUUAAUUUUUGAUAAAUAGCCGAUUGAAAUAAUUAUUCUUUGAACUAUGUUAUGUUAUGUGUGGAUUAAGUUCUUUAUGAUCAAGUAAUGUUUUUAUGAAAUGUAUUAUGAUUUUAAAUUGGGAAUUUCGAUCAUAUGAUUUAUUGAUCAUUGUGUAAGUGGAUUUUAGUUUAUAAUUUAUUAUAAUGACUUUGAAAUUUUGAUUAUUAGUGGUCUUGCUCAAUAGAGUAUAAAUUAUUAACCUUCGUUACCCUUGAUAGGGGGUAGUGAUGCUAUGCAAUCCUAACCAAUAAGAUGCUAUUAACCUUUGGUAUGCUAUUGAUUGAAUGUUGAUGGGGGAACAAAAUGAAGCUACCCAUCUAGUGCAAAUUCCAUUAUUUGGUUAUAGUGUUAUUAUCAGCGAAAUAGAGUAAAAUAUUUAUUUAUAAAAUCAUUUUGAACAUGAACUUCUACUAUUAAGUGUAUUAUAUUGUUUUAUACUUUUUGAAGUGUCAAUUUUUUUUCAAAAAAAAAAUGUAAACUUAAUUAUUAAAUUAAAUGAGUAGAUUUUUCUUAUUGACUUAUUUUUUCUUAUCGUGUUAAAUAUCGAAUUCACUCUUUUUUUAUAAUUCCACUUUUCAAUUACAAGUGAUGCCAAUGAAGAGAGAUUGUAAUAUAAUUAAGAGUGUUUUUAUUAUAAACAGUUUUGAAAUAGAUAUUGUUUAUGAUUAUUAACUUAAGACUAAUUGUAGUUGUAACUUCUAAAAAUUAAAUUUUAUAGAAUCAUUGAAGUCAUCGUUGAGAUAUUUUAAUUAUUUUUGGUUUUGCUAGUCAACUUAAUUUAUGUAUUAAGUUAUUGGAUUUGACAUGUGAAAUGGCUGUGAUGCUCUUAGCCUUCGGGUUCGAGGUAUCAGAGCCAUUGUCAUCACUUCACGGCCUUCCAACUGGGUAGGCUUGCUCGAAGUCACACCCUCAAAUCACUAGCAUGAAAGCUAGCUUUUACCUUGUUAGGUGAACCGGCUUAGGAAACUGUAAACUGAGAUCCAAUCAAUAAGCAAGAAGUUCAAUUAUUGAAGUUCUUAUUCAUUUGAGUGCUCUUCGACUACUUUAUGUAAAAAAUUUCAUGAAAGGGCCAAGAGGAUAUACAUAUGAUCAGGCAUGGAUGAUGCUUGGUGAUCCCAUACAGUACUCUCACGUGAUAUACGGGCCAAGGAUUAACGAGUAUUCUUGUAGUAAUAACGUUAAGAUAUGAACCCUAAUGGAAAUACUAACUAGAACACGCACGAAAGUAUUAAGCUAUGGUAUCCAUUAGCAUUGGCCAUUAGUUGAAGGUUGCAGUCCUCUAUAGAUCUCCAUUAAUGAUUCUUUUGUGUUAAAUUUAUAAAUGUUUUCUCCAUACUUUUGUGUCAUAUUGGUGGACCCUGGAAGAUCCGUCCUUACAACCAGCCAUAUCAGUAAGACAUUUUUAUUGGGUUUCUGGUAAAUAAAUAUUAGCAUAAAUUGGAAGGCGGUGGCUGUCCAUUUCUGCAGUGAUACACCAUUGUCUUUUUUAAGCUUUUAGUAUUUAAUAAAAUAUUCAAGCUUUUGUAAAUGGUUGAAUAACACUAUCAACAUGUGAUUCACAUGAGUUUAAUAUGUGAUUUCAACCAUGGCCAAUCAUGGGCAACCUAAACCUCAUUGGCCAUCUCCCCCACCGGUCCCUCCACAAACUGUCCCAAAAAUAUGGACAAAUAAUGGAGCUUCGAUUUGGGUCUUUCCCAGUUGUAGUGGCCUCAUCUUCAGAAAUGGAAAAGCAAUUCUUAAAGACAAACGAUCACCUCUUUGCCUCCAGGCCUCACACUGCUGCCGGAAAGUACACUAAUUAUAACUACUCCAACAUCACCUGGGCUCCUUACGGUCCAUACUGGCGCCAAGGGCGUAAAAUCUUCCUCACAGAGAUGUUCAGCUCGAAAAGGCUCGAGUCUUAUGAGUACAUUCGGGUUGAAGAAAGGCAGGCUUUCAUCUCCCGCCUCUACGCAUUGUCAGGAAAGCCAGUCAUGCUUAAAGAACAUCUCUCUCGCGUUACUCUCAGCGUUAUAAGCAGAAUUGUACUGGGGGAGAAGUACUUCAGUGAGUUCGAAUCCGGGAGGUCAAUGGUGACGGUGGAAGAGUGUCAGAAGAUGCUGGUUGAGUUGCUCUUGCUUAAUGGUGUGUUGAAUAUUGGGGAUUGGAUACCGUGGAUCGCAUUCUUGGACUUGCAGGGGUAUGUGAAGAGGAUGAAGGCUUUGCGCCAUAAAUUUGAUAGGUUUUAUGAUCAUGUGCUUGAGAAACACAGGGCCAGGAGAGAAGCAGAGGACUUUGUGGCUAGGACAUGGUGGAUAUGCUUCUGAGAUUGGCUGAUGAUCCUGAUAUUGAGGUUAAGCUCACUACUGAUGGGAUCAAAGGGUUUACACAGGUUAGUGUUAUAUGAGUUCAUGAACAUAUCCAACCAUUCAAAUUAGGCCUAUUCUAUUGAAACCUCGUGAUAAUUUUGCUUGUUUUGUUGUUUCAUGGUCAAGACCUAAUAGCUGGUGGUACAGAUACCUCAGCUACUACUCUGGAAUGGGCGAUGUCCGAGGUCUUGAGGCAGCCAAACAUAGCUAACAAGGCAACCGAAGAGCUGGAUAGAGUUAUAGGGAGAAAUAGAUGGGUGGAAGAGAAAGACAUUCCCCAACUUCCUUACAUAGAUGCAAUUGUGAAGGAGACAAUGAGGCUACACCCUGUUGCUGUCCUGCUUGCCCCUCACCUGGCUCUUCAGGACUGCCAUGUAGCUGGCUAUGAUAUUCGCAAAGGAACCCGAGUCCUAAUAAACACAUGGAGCAUAGGGCGGGACCCCAAUCUAUGGGAUGCACCUGAGGAAUUUUUCCCAGAGAGGUUCCUAGGGAAGGCAAUUGAUGUAAAGGGGCAAAACUUUGAGCUACUGCCAUUUGGUUCAGGGCGGAGGAUGUGUCCUGGCUACAGCCUUGCCCUAAAGAUGAUUGGAUCCAGCUUGGCUAACAUGUUGCAUGGAUUCCACUGGAAAUUGCCUGGAGAUAUGAAGCCAGAAGAGCUGAACAUUGAGGAAGUGUUUGGACUGACAACUCCAAGGAAGGUCCCACUUGUUGCUUUCAUGGAGCCUAGACUCCCAAGUCAUCUUUACUAGUCGUGCCUUAGACCUAUGUUUUCUUAAUAUUAUUCAGUUGUGUGCAAUGGUUUUAGUCUGUUAAUUCUAUUUCUCCUGUUCUCUAUCCAUGAAUGCAUUAGUGGCUUGCUCAAUUGAUAACAAACAUUACAAAAAUGAGGUUACGGUUAACAAAAGAUACACCUAAUGCCAAACUUUUCAAUUGUGUCGAUGGUGUAUAUGUCACUAAUGAUCUCAUUUCUUAGGACUUCAUUUUCUUUUCUCAUGUGGGGGAGGCAGCCAUGAAUCAGUCAGUUGCUUCAUUGUUAAUCAAAGAAAAUGAGGCGAAUUUGAAAGAAUUGAUUCAGAUAGCUAAAAUGUUCUCCUCAUAAGUAUUCAUACACUUUAUGCCUAAAAUGUGACCCACUAUGAAAUACAAGACAACCCUCAGUAAAUCUCUAUUCAUAAUAUGAUCUAUAGUUCUACCCACUUUUCUACCCUUCCUGCUUCUGGGAUGUAGGGAGAGUUUGGAUUGUUUAUGAGAUUCUGGCGUAGAGUGGUUUUGAAUAAGUGGUUGGGGAUUUUGGUGAUAUGAUCCUAUGCCUAUGGCCUCGACGGGAACUUUCUUUUUUGGGUUUCUUCUGUGCUUCUCCUUCUUCCUUUGUCUCCUUCUUAUGCAAGUCAUUUUUGCUUUGGACCGUGCACGCAAAGACCCCAACAGGAAUGUCAUGUGGGCCGAAGUGACUUGAGACUAAAUUGAGUUUGUGUCACUUGGUCCAACCCACUUAAGAUCCUAAUUAAUUAAUUAACUCUAAUGUGCUUAAAUAAAUUAACUAACCUAAUUCAGAAAGUAAGUUUAUAAGAUUUAGUGUAAUAUUACAUUUUUACCAGAAUACCUUUAUUGUACACUUAUGAAUUAUAUACCCAAAAUAUCCUUAAAGCAAGUGCCACAAUGAAACAGGAGCUCAAGUGAGGGCCACUUCUGAAGUUGACUCAACUACACUCAAAAUCCAAUUCUGGCUCCCUAAACUCAACUACUUUCAAAAUAUUGGUUCUUCAAAAUCCAAUUCUGAAGUUAGACUCAACAUUCCAUUCCAUUAAAAAAAGUUAACUACACUCUAGUAUCCUAUGAAAUUACAACGAUACAAAGCUUGAGUGUAUGACCUACUAUCUAUUACAUGCAAACUCCUCAUGAAUUGAUAUUUGUAAUAUAACAAAGAAUUUAGGUAAAGUCUCUAGAAAACUUUGAAUGGAAGAGUUUAAGUGUUGAUAAAUUUUAUUUAAAAUCGAAAAAUUAGGGAUAUGUACAAAUGUUUAGACGAGGUUUAUAUUUAAUAAAAAAUAAUAAAUAAAAAUAAAAAGCCUUUAAAGAACUUUGGUAUGAAGAGUUUAGGUGUUUAUAAAUUUUAUUUCAAAUAAAAAAAAUUAGGAAUAUAUACAAAUAUUUAGACGAGAUUCGUAUUGAAUUGAAAAGAGUACAUAAAAGCGGCAAUUAGCUAAAUGGUUAAUAUGGCUUGUUGCGUGUUUGGGUGUUGAAUGGAUGAAACCACAGACAAAUAAAAGGAAAAUAAAGAGGCAUGGUGGAGAGGAGGAAUAAAUUUUGGGGACAAUAAUAUAAUUAAAUAUACACACAAAUAGAUUUUUGAGAGUUUUAGGUUAGAUAAAUAAUUGAAAAAGGUAUAUUAUUAACGUAUUUGGUAAUGGAGUUGUAUACAAAUUGGGAAUUGCCUCCAUAUUAAAAUAAUAUUAAUGCAAGAGUAUUAAGAAUGCUAAAUAAUAAUUUUAGAUAAAUAGCGCAUCAAAAUUUUUUGAACUAUGUUAUGCCAGGUAAGUUCACUGUGGUCACGUGCUUUAAAAAUUCGACUGACUUUUAUUAUAUAAGAGUUAAUAGUGCAAUAAAUCAUUUUGUAAUUCCUAAUCAAUUUGUAAUUAAAGUAUUAAAAUAUUUAAAUUUUCUAAAGUGGAUCAAUUAAUAAUAUUCUUCUAAAAUGCGAUAUGAUUUGUUCUUUGGUUUUUGAAAUAAAUUAAAAAUAUCAUAUGAUUUAUUGAUUAUUAUGUGAGUGGAUUUUAGUUCUCAAUUUAUUAUAUAUAAUGACUUUGAAACUUUGGUUAUUGGUGGCGGAUAAAUUGUUGAUCUUCACUACCUUUGACGAGGGUAGUAAUGUAGUAUAACCCUAACCAGUAAGGAUGUUAUUAGCCUUGGUACACCAUAUAUUAAAAAUCAUUCCCUCCAUCAAUAAAAUGAAUAAAUUGAGGCUAACUACCUUACGUAAGUCUCACUAUUUGGAUAUAGUGAAUCAAAGUAAAAUAUUUAUUUAUGAAAUUAUUUUGAAUACGAACCAAUAAUGCAAGUGUAUUAUAUUAUUUUAUAUUUAAAUUGAAAGUGCCAAUUUUUUUUUUAAAGAAAUAUAUCUCAAAAGAUUUAAUGUUAUAUUAUAUUUUAGCCUCCUUGUUGAACUCUCCUAGAAAACUGUAGAGUGAGAUCGAAUCAAACGAGCAGGAAUUCAAUUAUUAAAAUACUUAUUCAUUAAUAAUGCAAGUGUAUUAUAUUAUUUUAUAUUUAAAUUGAAAGUGCCAAUUUUUUUUUAAAAGAAAUAUAUCUCAAAAGAUUUAAUGUUAUAUUAUAUUUUAGCCUCCUUGUUGAACUCUCCUAGAAAACUGUAGAGUGAGAUCGAAUCAAACGAGCAAGAAUUCAAUUAUUAAAAUACUUAUUCAUUUGGCUGUAUACAAAAAUUUCAUGGAAGGGCAAAGAAGAUGUAGAUAUGAUCAGGCAUGGAUGAUGGUGUUCCCAUACAGUACUCUCACGUGAUGAACGGGGCAAGGAUUAACUAGAACACAAAAGUAUUAAACUAUACAUACAAGAUCCGUUAGGGUUUUGGCCAUUGGCUGAAGAUUGCAGUCCUGUAUAGAUCUCCAUUGAUUCUUUUGUGAUAAAUUUACAAACGUUUUCUCCAUGCUUUUGUGUCAUUUUGGUGGACCCCGGAAGAUCCAUUAUUAAAACCAGCCAUAUCAGUAAGGAAUGAUAAUAUAUUUUGGAAGGUGGGUGUACGUCUAUUUCUGAAGUGAAAAAGGCACCAUUGUUUUUUAAUGUUUAAGCGUUUAAGUUAUGGUUGAUUAAUAUUAACAAAUACGAUUCACAUGAGAGUUGGGACUAAUAUGUGAUUUCCACAAUCUUAUUUGCUUAUAAAUAGUCCCCCAUUCCUCAAACUUACACCACCACCAUCACCACCAAUGGAGGCUCCUUCUUGUGUAGUUUUGGCCCUGGUGUGGCUAGCUGCAGCAGCCCUUCUCUCAAAACUUUUCAGUUUCCGGCCAGCCCACAAGCAAAACCUUCCACCAGGCCCCAAACCAUGGCGGAUCAUCGGCAACCUAAACCUCAUUGGCCAUCUCCCCCACCUGUCCCUCCACAAACUGUCCCAAAAAUAUGGACAAAUAAUGCAGCUUCAAUUCGGGUCCUUCCCAGUUGUAGUGGCCUCGUCUCCAGAAAUGGCAAGGCAGUUCUUAAAGACAAAUGAUCACCUCUUUGCCUCUAGGCCUCAGACUGCUGCUGGCAAGUACACUGCUUAUAACUACUCCAACAUCACCUGGGCAC
rnacentral:lncRNA from 1 species